rnacentral:rRNA from 2 species
CUGCGAGUGAAGUGGGAAAAGCUCAAAUUUGGAAUCUGGCGGUCUGUGGCCGUCCGAGUUGUAAUCUAGAGAAGUGUUACCUGCGCUGGACCGUGUACAAGUCUCCUGGAAUGGAGCGUCAUAGAGGGUGAGAAUCCCGUCUCUGACACGGACUACCAGGGCUUUGUGGUAUGCUCUCAAAGAGUCGAGUUGUUUGGGAAUGCAGCUCAAAAUGGGUGGUAAACUCCAUCUAAAGCUAAAUACUGGCAAGAGACCGAUAGUGAACAAGUACCGUGAGGGAAAGAUGAAAAGAACUUUGGAAAGAGAGUUAAACAGUACGUGAAAUUGCUGAAAGGGAAACGCUUGAAGUCAGUCGUGUUGGCUGGGGAUCAGCCUCACUUCUUUGUGUGGUGUAUUUCCUGGUUGACAGGUCAGCAUCAAUUUUGACCACUGGAAAAAGGCUUGAGGAAUGUGGCAGCCCUGGCUGUGUUAUAGCUUCUUGUCAGAUACAGUGGUUGGGAUUGAGGUGUGCAGCACGCCGCAAGGCCGGGGCAUUGCCCACGUACGUGCUUAGGAUGUUGACAUAAUGGCUUUAAGCGACCCGUCUUGAAACACGGACCAAGGAGUCUAACAUGCCUGCGAGUGUUUGGGUGGAAAACCCGUGCGCGCAAUGAAAGUGAAAGUUGAGAUCCCUGUCGUGGGGAGCAUCGACGCCCGGACCAGAACUUUUGGGAUGGAUCUGCGGUAGAGCAUGUAUGUUGGGACCCGAAAGAUGGUGAACUAUGCCUGAAUAGGGCGAAGCCAGAGGAAACUCUGGUGGAGGCUCGUAGCGAUUCUGACGUGCAAAUCGAUCGUCAAAUUUGGGU